rnacentral:rRNA from 1 species
CCUACGGGAGUCAGCAGUGGGGAAUAUUGCACAAUGGGGGGAACCCUGAUGCAGCGACGCCGCGUGGGUGAAGGAGCGUUUCGGCGCGUAAAGCCCUAUCGGCAGGGAAGAAGAUGACGGUACCUAACCAAGAAGCCCCGGCUAACUACGUGCCAUCAGCCGCGGUCAUACGUAGGGGGCAAGAGUUAUCCGGAUUUACUGGGUGUAAAGGGGGUGCAGACGGCAAUGGAAGCCAGGAGUGAAAACCCGGGGCCCAACCCCGGGACUGCUCUUGGAACUGCAUGGCUGGAGUACAGGAGGGGCAGGCGGAAUUCCUAGUGUAGCGGUGAAAUGCGUAGAUAUUAGGAGGAACACCGGUGGCGAAGGCGGCUUGCUGGACUGUGACUGACGUUGAGGCCCGAAGGCGUGGGGAGCAAACAGGAUUAGAUACCCUUGUAGUC